GACUGCAGUUAGCCAAGAUCGUGCCAUGUGCCACUGCAUUUCAGCUUGGGAGACAGAGCAAGACUGUCUAAAAAAAAAAAAAAAAAAGCUACAGCAGCGUCCAACUGCUACAAGCUUGUUUCUAAACCCAGUUCCUGCACUCACCUAGUGUCAGAAAGGUACAAGAUGGACUUGCUACAUGGUUUGACCCUCCUAGGGAACUGUUUCCAACUUCAGCCUUUAAGCAUAAGCCAAGGACUCCUGACACUAGAACAAGAGACCAAAAGAAACAUGAUGUGGGCAGAAGCUCCUGAUGACCCAUGCCAUGGGACCAUGCCAUGGGACUGAGAGAAAGCGCUGUGACUCAGAACUGACCCUGGAGGCUCACAGUGGAGAGAGCGGAAAAGAGCUCCUGAAGAUGAAAAGCAUCAGAGACAAAAUCAAAACCUCAAAGAUGGUAACAAACCGGGAAAGGAAAAAGGUUCACGAGGCCACUCCAGGUCUGACAUCUGAGUUUGAAAGUCACGAAUUUCCAAGAUGGAAAGAGGCCACCAAGUGCACAGCAUGGUGGAUAAAAUAAACCCUAGGAUGUGGAAGAGAAAAGGACAAUCUCACAAGAUGUAAGAAAAAAAUACAUCCCAACAGAAAUGGCUAAGAACGAUCAUGGAAGAACUGCCUUCAAAAGUCUGAAGAGGCCAGGCAGUGGCUCAGGCCUGGCCAGUCUAGGGUCACAACGUCUGCAUCUUCAGCCCCAAGCUCUGGGCCAGGAUGUGCACAGUCCCCGACGCGCGUUUCUCCACCAGAGCUUCACCGCUGUUCGACAGGUCCAAACGUGAGCAUCACCUCCACUCCUGCCGUAUUGUUUGGGCUCACCCAGUUCUCCCCUGGAGGUGGCACUCCCUCUGUCCCUCCUGUGUGGAGACAUGCAUUGAAAAUGACUGGCUCCAACAACCCGGGACUUUAAAGCGAGGCAAACAAACGCACACCAGGAACUUGUUCAUCAAGUCUCAAAAACACCAGUAUUACCAGUUGUAUGAUUCAAGGUUUUAUUAAGUCAUACAUGCAAAACAUAAUGCUAACUGCAUUAGCAAAAGAUCAAUGUAAAAACACUCCACAAUUCUGCAACUGUCAAUUUAAAAAAUCCUGUUGUCGUGGCUGAAAGGUUCUGCGUUGUAUUCUUGCCGGUGAGUUAACUUGUACAGAACAUUGUCAGCACUAGCACAGUUUACAGAACCUCACAGACCCAAAGGAACAUCAUUAGGCAAAGCGACUACAGGAGGUGUGUGUCCGCAUGGGCGAGGUAAAGAGGGUCAGUAUUGGUCAAGUGACAGUGUCGGUAAUCUGGCAAGACAGUGAUGUUAAGAAGGUUCAUAGUUUAAGAAUUAUCUAAAAUAUUUUAAAAACUAUAAAGCUGCAACACAUUUUUACACCUAGUUACUAGAAAACUAAGGAAAGCACUUAUUAGCUCUGAAUAAAGUAACAUGGAAAGCACUUUUACUCAUCUACAAAAAAACCUUCUAAUGCAUUAUCAGAAAGAUUUUAUAAUACAAGGAGGCAUAUUGCUCAGUAAGAAGGGGUCCUAUAAGAAAAGCACUUACUAAGUUAGCAACUAAGGGAACGACCAGUUUAAAGAUGAAUUAAAUGCCCAAUUUGGGGAGGGAUGGCAGGUGUAAGAGAAAGGAAAAGCUUAAGAAAACAUUUCCUGAUAAUACCAACCUUUCUUUCAUCAUCUGCAUUUGACAGAAAUUAACCUUUUAGAGAUUUUACCCGUGACACUUUUGUUCCUUGUACAAUAUAGUGUAAAUCUCCACUUCGUAUUUUGUCAAAAUACUGUCUUUGUCCUUUGAUCACACACACCCCACCCGGCACACCCACGGCUAAACAGAAUUCUUCAUUAGAGGAAACACGAGUUCUGUUCAAAAUCUCCGCAAAAGCUGGUCAGAAAACUCACUAUGAAAUCAAAAAGACUGAUCCAAAGAGCUGAGCUGUUACACUCACUCCAUUACAGUACAAUGUUAUGUCGUGAACAUGGGCCGCUAAAUCACUGGUGAGUUCAAUGGCAACGCGCCAUUCGGGAGGCUGUUCUGCUUUACACAUAAGAGAACUACUGAGCAAGUGUCUGCAUCUCCUAACUGCAGAAGCUACAGUCUUCUCAAGGACGAAGGUCCUUACACAGUUUAGUGCUCGGUGUUCUUAGCACAACAAUGCAGUGUAGUUCAGAAGGUAUUUUGGCAACUCUUAAUCUGAGCAAGAAUGGGGGGGCUUUUGAAAAAUAAGGCUUUAAGAAGGUUUGUCAUUUUAGGGCUAAAUUUUAAUAGAAUGUGAGUCUGAACUCUUACAUUUAGAACAAACAAAAACCUUAAAAUUACUGAUUGGUUCAAAAUGGUUUUAUGGAAAAAUUAAUCUGUAACAAAAAGUUGGCAUUGAGUGCGAAGGCUCCACCGUUUUUUUCUUUUUUUUUUUU